rnacentral:piRNA from 1 species
UUUAUCGAUGCUUUAUAAUUC